rnacentral:rRNA from 1 species
CUACGGGAUGCACCAGUGAGGAAUAUUGCACAAUGGAGGAAACUCUGAUGCAGCAACGCCGCGUGGAGGAUGACGCAUUUCGGUGUGUAAACUCCUUUUAUAUGUCAAGAAAAUGACGGUAGCAUAUGAAUAAGCACCGGCUAACUCCGUGCCAGCAGCCGCGGUAAUACGGAGGGUGCAGGCGUUACUCGGAAUCACUGGGCGUAAAGGACGCGUAGGCGGGAUAUCAAGUCAGGUGUGAAAUCCUACAGCUUAACUGUAGAACUGCACUUGAAACUGGUAACCUAGAGUAUGGGAGGGGGAGAUGGAAUUAGUGGUGUAGGGGUAAAAUCCGUAGAUAUCACUAGGAAUACCUAAAGCGAAGGCGAUCUCCUGGAACAUAACUGACGCUAAGGCGUGAAAGCGUGGGGAGCAAACAGGAUUAGAUACCCUCGUAGUC